GUCCUUUCCAAAAUUCUCCUUUCAUUUGUCUCUGCUCUCGAAUUACUACCCCACGAGGCACCGGAUCCUGGACCUUUCCUUGUGAUGAUACAUCAGAGACUUUUCAUGGCUCAACAAAGCAACAAUUAUUGGAAGCCAAUCCACAAUAAUCUACAUCAUUUCAUCAACUAUAACUACACCAUCCCUGAACACCUCUUUCUCACCAUCCAGUGGAAACACUGAGCCUUGCAGUGCCAGUUUGGAUUG
rnacentral:lncRNA from 1 species